rnacentral:tRNA from 1 species
ACAACAUUAUUAUACGGAAUAUACUAACUUUCCAAGUUAGAGACCCUGAAAUAAACAGGAUGUUGUA